rnacentral:rRNA from 1 species
AACGAACGCUGGCGGCGUGCCUAACACAUGCAAGUCGAACGUGAUUAGAGAGCUUGCUCUCUAUGAAAGUGGCGCACGGGUGAGUAACGCGUAGAUAAUCUGCCUGGUGAUCUGGGAUAACACUUCGAAAGGGGUGCUAAUACCUGAUAAGCCCACGGGGUCUUUGGACUCUGCGGGAAAAGGGGGGGACCUUCGGGCCUUCUGUCACCAGAUGAGUCUGCGUACCAUUAGCUAGUUGGUAGGGUAAAGGCCUACCAAGGCGACGAUGGUUAGCGAGUCUGAGAGGAUGAUCAGCCACACUGGAACUGAGACACGGUCCAGACUCCUACGGGAGGCAGCAGUGGGGAAUUUUGCGCAAUGGGGGAAACCCUGACGCAGCAACGCCGCGUGAGUGAUGAAGGCCCUUGGGUCGUAAAGCUCUGACAGAGGGAAAGAAAUGUGGGUGGCUAAUAUCCAUACCACUUGACGGUACCCUCAAAGGAAGCACCGGCUAACUCCGUGCCAGCCGCCGCGGUAAAAC